AUUGAACGCUGGCGGAAUGCUUUACACAUGCAAGUCGAACGGCAGCACGGACUUCGGUCUGGUGGCGAGUGGCGAACGGGUGAGUAAUGUAUCGGAACGUGCCCAGUCGUGGGGGAUAACGUAGUGAAAAUUACGCUAAUACCGCAUACGAUCUAUGGAUGAAAGCGGGGGAUCGCAAGACCUCGCGCGAUUGGAGCGGACGAUAUCAGAUUAGGUAGUUGGUGGGGUAAAGGCCCACCAAGCCAACGAUCUGUAGCUGGUCUGAGAGGACGACCAGCCACACUGGAACUGAGACACGGUACAGACUCCUACGGGCGGCAGCAGUGGGGAAUUUUGGACAAUGGGCGAAAUCCUGAUCCAGCCAUGCCGCGGGCAGGAUGAAGGCCCUCGGGUUGUUAACUGCUUUUGUACAGAACGAAAAGGUUUCUACUAAUACUAGGAGCUCAUGACGGUACUGUAAGAAUAAGCACCGGCUAACUACGUGCCAGCCGCCGCCGUAA
rnacentral:rRNA from 1 species